GAGCGCACGGCGGGGGGGGGGCGCAGAGCCCUAUCCACGUCCCCAGGCCUUUUGUUUAACCUGCGUCGACGCACAGGAAGGUCCCAGCUUUAUUUCUGCCCCAUUUUUACCAUUAUGAUUACUAUCCCCCCCCGCUCUGUGCUCGCGCCCUUCGGGGCCAAAUGGGGCAGAACUCUUCAGGGUGGAUUUUCAGAGCGCCGAGUGCAGGAAUUCCUGCCAGCUCGCCUUUGUGCCAGCCUGCCCCGGCCUUCGGCGUCUCAUUCGGAUGGAGCCUGGCAUCCAGGCACCGCCCAUUUCUUGGCGUUGAGCUGAGAGGAGAAGGAAAGGGGAGAGAGCGAGCGAGAGAAGGGGAAAAAAAAAAAAAAGCUGUCUCACUCCAACUGGCCUUUCUCGGAAAAGGAUCCUUCCCCGGUGACCGUCCGGAUAAGCGGAGCUAAAAGCAGCCACUGCUCCACAACACAACCACGCUCCCGGCGGUGCAUCCCCUCUCGCUGCCUCGUGAUUCUGCAUUUCCCUCAGUUGCUGGGAUGGCUUCGCAGCUCGCAGUCGCGGCUCUUUGCUCCCGGAUGGCAGAGGGGAAUGGAUUUCUGGUGACAUAAUGGGGAUCGGCUCUGCCGUGGGUCAGCAUUGGGGUGGUCUCACCUCUCGUGGAGGGAUUGCUGGACGUCUGGAGAGAUGCUGGGAGCGAGAGCAGGAGCGGGGGGAUCGCUGUCCUUGCAUAGAAAGGUAUUUGCCUUCGUAUCUGCUUGGCUUUCUUACAGAAGGACAGUGGAGGUGGAAAUGGUGGUCUUGGAGUUGGGGUGCAUAGGUGGGCGCCAGGAUCGCGUCACAGACUCCAUGUUUUGGUCCAAAUAUAUGCUAGGGGUAAACACGAGCCCUUUUGCAAGCAGGCUUUGAACUGAAGGAGAGCAGAAUUAAUGGAAGAGUCCUAUAGAAUACUGCAGGAUGUUCUCUGCGUAGAUCUUUGUGUUGUCCUAUAGCACUGCGUCAUCCUAUAGCAUUCCAUUUUCCUAUAGAAUUCCAUCAUCCUAUAGCAUUGCAUUUUCCUACAGAAUUCUGUUGUCCUAUAGCAUUGCAUCAUCCUAUAGCAUUCCAUUACCUUAUAGAAUCCCGUUAUCCUACAGCAUUGCAUUUUCCUAUACAGUUCUGUUGUCCCAUAGCAUUGUGUUGUCCUGUAGCAUCGUGUUGUCCUAUAGAAUUGCGUUAUCCUAUCGAAUCAAACACAGAGCACUUAAAAGUAAAUCUUUUUGCCUUUCAUCUCUUUGAUUUUUACUCUUCCGAAGGAAUUAUGAGACCUCAGUAGCACUUGUUUUUAAUUCUGUACCAAAAAAUCUGGGGUUUUUAUUUCUCCUUCAGGACAGUGUAUGCAAUAUGCUGACUGACCAGGAUUUGUGGUCGCCUUUAAUCAUGGGUUUAUGAAGGGUUAAUGAAAGACAAGUAGCAUUAGGAGCAUGUUACGGAUGCACAUAUUGUAGAUAAAAACACCAAACUGAUUAAUGAGGAUCGAGAGGUUUCCAAACACCCAACAGGACUCGAGACAACCCCUAUCAGAUGAGCAGGAACUCGUUAGGAUACCUGUUAAUUGUUUCAUACAACGAUAAGCGUUUAAUAUAAACAAGUGGAGUACUGCCGACGUCAUUACGGCAUACGGAGGAAAACCCUGCUGAGAUGUGGGGCUGUUUUUGGGGUGAACUUCCCCACUUUUGGCGUCCAUCCCCCCUUUGCCUCUUUGCAGUGCCUCCAAUUAACUCUUGCAUCUUCACGCUCGGCCCCAGGGUCAGCUCCACUCUGCUUUCCCAGGACACAGCAUCACUGCACCCAUCCGGAGCUCCUGAAAACUUUCCCAGCUUCUUCUUUUUUUUUUUUUACUUUUUUUCUUUUCUUUCUUUUUUUUUUUUUUUAAUUCUUUCCCUCUCCUUUUUGUCCAUUUGCUUUUCAUUUCCCCACUCGAUGUCACUGCGGCCUUCCCCGCCGGCAAAGCCACAGCGACAAAAUGGCCGACGGGCAGCC
ensembl:lncRNA